rnacentral:rRNA from 1 species
GACGAACGCUGGCGGCGUGCCUAAUACAUGCGAGUAGAAUGCACAGUUUAUACCGUAGCUUGCUACACCAUAGACUGUGAGUUGCGAACGGGUGAGUAACGCGUAGGUAACCUGCCUGGUAGCGGGGGAUAACUAUUGGAAACGAUAGCUAAUACCGCAUAAUAUUGAUUAUUGCAUGAUAAUUGAUUGAAAGAUGCUAUUGCAUCACUACCAGAUGGACCUGCGUUGUAUUAGCUAGUAGGUGAGGUAACGGCUCACCUAGGCGACGAUACAUAGCCGACCUGAGAGGGUGAUCGGCCACACUGGGACUGAGACACGGCCCAGACUCCUACGGGAGGCAGCAGUAGGGAAUCUUCGGCAAUGGACGAAAGUCUGACCGAGCAACGCCGCGUGAGUGAAGAAGGUUUUCGGAUCGUAAAGCUCUGUUGUAAGAGAAGAACGGGUGUGAGAGUGGAAAGUUCACACUGUGACGGUAUCUUACCAGAAAGGGACGGCUAACUACGUG